UUUUAUUUUUUCAUUUUUUUAUUUUGUUUUACUAUUUGGUAUUUCAUUUAGCUUUCUUUAUUAUUAUUUAAUUUGAUUUUAUUUUUUAAAAAAGGGACAUAAAAAAGAAAAAGAAAAGAAAAGGAAAAAGAGAAAAGCAAAAAGUAAAAGAAAAAAAAUAAAAAUAAAAAUUAAAAAAAAAGGAAAAAAAAUGAAAAAGAAAAACAAAAGGAAAUAAGGAAGAAGGAAAAAAAGAAAAAAAAAAAAGGGGUGCACGUGAAUCAAAUGGAAGAGGUGUUGCACGUGAUGAAUUGGAUUUGAGUUCCUUGGAAAAAUGCCCAUAAGCAAUUAAUACUAAUGCAUGACAGAUCAGUUUAGAAUAUUUUUGAAAUUUGUUUUAUUUGGUAAUAAUUUGAAUCAACAUUACG
rnacentral:lncRNA from 1 species